AUUGAACGCUAGCGGGAUGCUUUACACAUGCAAGUCGAACGAGUGGCGGAUGGGUGAGUAAUAUAUCGGAACCUGCCCAGGAGCGGGGGACAACUACCCGAAAGAGCUACUAAUACCGCAUACUAAUGGACCGGCCGAUAUCGGAUUAGCUAGUUGGUGGGGUAAAGGCAGACCAAGGGAACGACCCGUAGCUGGUUUGAGAGGACGAACAGCCACACUGAGACUGAGACACGGCCCAGGCUCCUACGAGGGGCAGCAGGGGGGAAUUUUGGAAAGUGGGGGAAACCCUGAUCCAGCCAUCCCGCGUGUAAGAGGAGGCCUGCGGGUUGUAGAGUACUUUUGCUGAAAAGCGGUAUCUGCAGAAUAAGCACCGGCUAACUACGUGCCAGCAGCCGCGGUAAUUC
rnacentral:rRNA from 1 species